UACGUAGGGUGCAAGCGUUGUCCGGAAUUAUUGGGCGUAAAGAGCUCGUAGGCGGUCUGUCGCGUCGGCUGUGAAAUCCCGAGGCUCAACCUCGGGUCUGCAGUCGAUACGGGCAAACUGGAGUACUGCAGGGGAGACUGGAGUUCCUGGUGUAGCGGUGAAAUGCGCAGAUAUCAGGAAGAACACCCGUGGCUAAGGCGGCUCUCUAGUACGGUACUGACGCUGAGACGCGAAAGCGUGGGGAGCGAACAGG
rnacentral:rRNA from 1 species